CCUAAGUGGGUGGUAAACUCCAUCUAAGGCUAAAUACAACCACGAGACCGAUAGCACACAAGUACCGUGAGGGAAAGGUGAAAAGAACUUUGAAGAGAGAGUUCAAGAGUACGUGAAACUGAGGUGGUGUAAACGGACGAGAUCGAAAAGUCCGAAUGGGGAGAUUCAGGCCCAUCCGCGCCGGUGGCGGCGGGGUUCAGAUGGUGCGGUCGGCGUGGGGCUCUCGGGCUGCCGCGUUUGCUCCGUAUUCACUCGUCCCUGUCGCACUGUCUGGUGCGGUGGGCUGCACUUCUCCCCUAGUAGGACGUCGCGACCCGUUGGAAGGUUCCGGUCGAUGGCCCGUGGUGGAGCCCGUGGCGGAGCGGUUGGGCUUGCUCAUCCGUUGCUGUCCGCGGACCCGCGGUGACCUGGCCGGCGUCCGACGGUAUCGAAGCUUGGGAAGGGACCGCACAGAGGUUGCGUCCGAUGCCCGCAUCGGGCUGUACUCGGACAGGUCCGCACCCGGUCAGCGGCGCUACUGCUUUCGAUACUCGUCCGA
rnacentral:rRNA from 1 species